GACGAACGCUGGCGGCGUGCUUAACACAUGCAAGUCGAACGGAAAGGCCCUUCUUGCGGGGUACUCGCGUGGCGCGCGGGUGUAUAACGCGUGGGUGCUCUCCUCUGCUUCUCGGUAUCUGCCUGGAAAUCGGGGUAUAAUACAGGAUAGAUGCUAUCUUUAGUGUGGGGGUUGGAAAGUUUUUUCGGUGUUGGAUGAGCUCGCGGCCUAUCAGCUUGUUGGUGGGGUAAUGGCUUACCAAGGCUGUGACGGGUAGCCGGCCUGAGAGGGUGGACGGCCACAUUGGGACUGAGAUACGGCCCAGACUCCUACGGGAGGCAGCAGUGGGGAAUAUUGCACAAUGGGCGGAAGCCUGAUGCAGCAACGCCGCGUGGGGGAUGACGGCCUUCGGGUUGUAAACCGCUUUCAGCAGGGGCGAAGCUUGUGGUGACGGUACCUGGAGAAGAAGCACCGGCUAACUACGUG
rnacentral:rRNA from 1 species